GGGCAUCCACCAGGAGAGUGCCCAGACCAGCUGAAGCACUAGCUAGUGAGGCAGUGAGGGAGUUGGAGGAGGGAGAGGAUGAAUACUGAUGAAGGCUUGGGACAGCUGUGGAAUGUGGGGAUCUAGUUAGUUUCACUGGCAGAACAGCAGCUGGCCACCUCCUUGAAGGACAUGACCUUGAGGGAAGGCACAAGCAAAUGUGAAUGAGGCUAAGGAGGGACUGUAUUAGACACCCCUUGUGAGCCACUCCAAACGCUCUCAGCACAUCUCUCACUUCGGUGGAUGCUGUGACAAGCCAACGGUUCAAUCUGUAGGCAGCAGCAUUAUCUUAACUGACAAAGCUGGGAAAGAUCCCUGUUUGAAUGAGUCAAUUCCCAUGGGGUUAUGUCUGACCAGUGGGACUGAGAGCCAAUAAUAAUCUCAUCCACCAUUCACUCCCUGGGAGAAGAGUGCUGAGAAGCAUUCUAGAAGGUGCCUUAGGAGUCCCGACAGGAUCAAGCAUCACUCUCCCACGGUGGUGCCAGCUCUGUCAUGUAUCCUCGUAUUUGUUUUCUCUGUGUAUGUUUCAUUUGCCCUGCUCCUCCCUCCUGCCUCCAGGAAUCACAUCGCAAAUGAACCAUCUGCACACAGACUUUGUCUUUGUGUCUGCUCUGGGGGAAUCCAUGCUAAGACAAUGUAGUUUUGGAGUUGUCCUCUACCGGCAUUUGGUAAUUAACCUUAACAAUACCAUUUUAAGUCAAUAAUGUAUUAUUAGAUCUUUAUUUGUUUUGCAGAUGGCUCUAUAAUUAUGAGACUUGGACUUAUUCACCUUUAUGAUUGCAUUUGUAGUUUUUAAGAGGGUAUGUGGUAUUUUUUUGGUUUUUUUUCCUGCUGUCUAUUUUUAUCACAGACUUGUGCCUUCCUAUUUCUGCUUCUCAGAAUAGUCAUGUUUGGGAGUUCUUAUAAGGGCUAAGGAUGCCAAUCAGAUAGCUAAUGCCAAGAUGGUUGGUAACACGCAGGGCUUUGUUCUUUCAUUUGGAGAAAGUCACACUUUAUUAAUAAUAACAACCAGAUCUCUGGAGAGAUUGCUGAACAAAGGCACAGAGCUUUGGAAUGCCGGGCCCUGCCCCUGCUCUCAGAAUAUUUGGAGAACAUUUCCCUGGAAGCUCCAGGAACAGUUCACUGACUUGCAGAGAAGAAAUUCCAGUUGGAAAGCCAGAUGGCCUCAUAUAAAAGCAGGGGGGAGAUGUGUGGAAUCAGAAGAUGUCUAUAAAACAAGAUGAAAAUUGGGAGUUGUGGAGGUAUCUACUCAAAAGAACCAUUUGAAAUCAAUUGGCUCAACCUAAACCUGCAAGGCUUUCCUAUGAGCAGAAUGGAAUGUUCAUCUGGAAUGUUCUCUCUUCGCAAAAAAAGACCAUGCUCGAACCAGAGAGACAGCGUUCUAUGGGAGGAAAAGGGCUGCAUCUAGACUCAUUUGCCCUGGGAUCCAAGGUCUGGGUCUUCUCCUAACUCACUGGAAGAACUCACACAAGUCAUUGUCAGCUCCACUAUCCACAUCUAUACAAUAAAGAUAAUAUUUAUCUUUUUUAAUGAUGUCAUUAUUAAACAUUUGAUGAGAUGUUUAAAUGAGAUAUGGCUGUAGUGAUGGCAGGUAUUUA